CAGGGCCUCUCCUAAGUGGAAUGCAGCCAUCAUUAAUGGGUUGAAUACACUUGUGCUUUUCCUACUAUGACAUGUCAACAUGUCUGCCGUGGAAAAGGUCUAUAACUUAUUAUCAGUUUGACGAUUUAAUGGAGGAAUGAAUCAUGUCUGGAACCCCUUGUUGCCACCGCCGCCAGUCAGUGACUCUCUGUCGGCCGUUUGUUGCAACCUGUCGGGCCGGAAUGGGACGUUUACCUGAUGGGGCUGUGGAUGCUAGCUAACGUUACAACUCUUCACUUUAACUAAAAUGAGUGGCUGUAACCUUUCAGAGAGAAGCUGUGAAGCUCUGCCCUCAGGUCCAGUUCUCUCAGACCAGAGGACUGGGAGUUGAGAACUGAGUAACAACAACCUGCAGGAUUCAGGAGUGGAUCUGCUGUCUGUGGGACUGGAGAGUCCACACUGUACUCAGGGAAUUUUAAGGGUGGAGCCUGCUGGAGUCCGAUGGCUGAGACCAGAUUCCUGUUUAGUCCAAAAAAGAAUUAACUAUUGGUAAAAAGCUAAGAAUGUGGGUAGGAUCUGACUUUUUCCUGCGGGAGGCGCUAGGGAAAAUCAGACUCUAUCAAAUCUAAAGGGAACAAAAAAAUAAAAUGGUUACCAAAAUAAAGAUUCUCACGUUCUUUGUUACAAUGUGUAGCAGCAAAAUGCAACACAUUUCAAUCCUGCAAACACCAGAGAAGAAGAGAAAUCCUCUAUUUCUGGAUUAAUCUGUAGUUUCAGACCAUCCAGUUCUUCAGAGUCCAGAUUUGAAGCUGCUUUCACUCCCAAAAACUAAGAUGGGUGUUAAUUAGUGAUGUUACCCGUGAACCCCCUGCUUCGAGGCAUGUAUCGAAGACAUGAACCGAUUUUGGAAUGGAGCUUCACAACAUGGAACCUGUUGGAAAGAGAGGUCGUUCAGAGAUGUGGGAACACUUUAAUUUGAUUUCGCCCAAAAGGUUGGCAAUAGCCUAUGUUAUCUUAUUGCUUAUAUGGGAUAUGCCGGUGUGCAUUAGGCUAUGCGGCUCUCCAUAAUGCGGAAAAGUCUAGAUUUAUAUUAGCUACAACCUAAGCUAUAUCUUCAUAAUGAAAUUGUUUGACUA